CGGAAGUGCUGCCGCUCUGACCUGUCCCACCUGCGACUGAUUCCUCGCCAGCUGCUGCCAAUCAUCCACCGUCGUUGGCAGAGCUAUUUAAUGGUGUGGCUGAGUGACAGACAGCGCUGGAGUAUUGCACCAAGCCUGGAAGCGAACGAGACGGAGAGACGGAAGGAGAGACGUCACUGAUUGACGGGAGUUGUGUGGACACACGAGGGGAGACGGGGAGAGGAGCACUGAAGGGACUUGCACUAUGGAUAACUGUGGAUUGGCUUCACUGUAAAUAAAGACACUGUUGAACUUUAACGAGAGGUCCGCGUCUGGGUUCACUAACUCACCAUCCUUAACACUCAGUGACUUUCCGCAACAGUUGUCAGACCUCAAUUCCUCUUAACAUGUAGCUGUGGAGAGAGUUCUCAGAAAGGUCCUGAAUAGCUGGCCCACAAGGAAACUUGAGAUGGGAAACGCUGAAGCUAGAAGGUUAGCAGCGACUGAAGUUUCAAAAUAAGUAAGGGCAUUACUUAAUAGUCAGUAAAACACUCUAUAACCUAUGUCUGGGUCUUUAAAGUUUACACAGGGCUGACUUCACAAGAAGCUCUGUGGAAAUUUAAAGUGGUGGCGGAAUGACGUGGGUUGUCGCCUAUGAACAGAAAAGUGGAUAAAGUUCAUGCAGCUUUUGUGCUGCUGUUGCAAAAAGGAAGGAACAAAUACAGACAAAAUAAUAAUAAAUACCUGAUUUGAAAUUCAUGCAUAUUUUUAGUUUUUCCAUUUCUUAUUCAGAUAUUUAUCAAUAAGUGACUUAUAUGUAUGUAUAUAUUGUGCUAUUCCUUACUUCUUGUAUCUUGUAUCUGUCUUUGUUACUGUUUGUACUGUAACCAAUAUAUUUCCCCCAGGGAUCAAUAAAGUAUUCUGAGUCUCAUUCUA